CUGGAUUUAUUUAAUACACCAGGGUUCACAGACGGCCGCACGUAUCAUGCGGCCGUCCCCCUGCUGUCGACGGAUCAGAAUCCGUCGAUCCUCGACCCAUGGUGCUGCUGUUCCGGAUUGAGCAACUAAAAAACAAAACAAGUCACAAAUCCCAGGGCCUACGCUCUACAUUUCACCAGUAGAGGCAUGGUCGGAAUAAUAGCAUUGCACGCACCGACGUCAUUUGUACCCAUUGACAAUCGUCAAUGUGGUCAUGUCGGACACGCCGGUCACGUCUCCGAAAUUGGACGUUCCCGACGCACGACGAAGGUACUACCCGGACACCCUUAUACAGUAUAACAUAUUCCGCGACCUCACAUAAAUCUUUUCCGUAUCUUUUCUUCAUAUCUUUUCUUCCAGUAUAACAAAAAUUCCGCGACCUCACCAUACCGAUGAGAUCGCCGACUUCUGAGGACAAGCGACGACAGUGGAAUAUUGCAAGAAUGAUGAUUACGCUUGCCCCCCAUCUGCCUAUUUAAGCAACUACUUAGGGGGUUUGAUUCAUAUCCAAAUCUACCGGAAAAUCCCAACUGCAAGUAGGUCUUCCGUCGACCACACAGCAAGGUAUUGUUUCUAUUCUUGCCCUAGUUGAUUCAAUCAAUCCAGUGGUUUUUCCCAAUCCCUAAUUGCUCAAUCCCUAAUUCUUCAAUUCUUUCCUCGGCUCCAGCAGAACAAAGCAACCGUUCUCCCGCUCCUACCCUGGUACUACCCGAAAUUCUUCUUGAAAAUCGCCAAAGGUCGGUAGCUAUUUCUGAUUCUGAUCUUUCCGUUAAAAUUUAUGUGGAUUUUCUUUGCACCGUGAAUUAUGUUCUUUGAACCAGGGUUUACUAGUUUCUAUUCUCGUCUUCAAUAUGAUGAUUUUUGGGGUUCAGUAUUUUAUUUUUUAAGAUAUCCGAUUGCUUUUUAUCUUUUUCAGUAUUUUAUUUUUGGGGUUCAGUAUUUUGUCUUCUUCUUAGUAUAACUCUGAAUAAUUCAAUCUCGGUCUGUGAUUUUUUCAUCUUCUCUUCCAUAAAGAAAUAAGUCUGUGAUAGUAAUGUUUUAUUCAACAAUCGUUUUUUUUUGAGAUUAUGGUAUUUGGAUAUUCUGGAAAUUUUUUCCAAUAAUUUUAACUUCUGCUCUAAUAAUCAAUGCUCAAAUCAUAAAUUAAUAGCUAAAAAUAACUUGUGGACAAAUGUUUAUCUUAGUUAGGCAAUGAAUUCUAGAAAAAGAAACGCCCCCGAUGGAAACCGCGCUCAGAGGAGAAGAGGUAACUGCAACGACGUUAUCGUCAUCAGUGACGAUGAAUCAGAGGACGAUUUAGUUGCAGAUUCACCAAUGACGAGGCCUGUUACUCCUAGACGUCCCACAACCCGAACUGGAACCGAUGCCCCACAGAACUCAGAUAUGCGGGUGAUGAUACCCCUGGUCCAUCAGAUCAAGCCCAGCAGGCCCACUUGACCAGUGAAAGAAGGCCCGGUCCAGUAGGAAAGUGUAUAAAUAUCCCUAGGGGUUGAAUGUAGAGG
rnacentral:lncRNA from 1 species